GUACAAGCAUAACAUAACAUUUAAUAAUAUUGAUACUAAAUAUUUACCUUGUCAACUACAACCAUUCAACAAGUGAGUUUAUAUACAAGUUUUACAUACUAUAUUCAACUAUUUAAGGUCAUUCAACUUUAAGUCAUGAUAUAACAUUGGAAAUUCAAGUAAACAUUAAAUAUUUCAUUAUAAUGACAUUAAACCUUUUAUAAUUUCUCGAUGAACGAUAUAAAUAGAUACAGAUACGCAGUUAUCCACCAAAAACAUGCCAAAAAGCUUAAACGAGCCAAACCAACCGAAAACACACCUGGGCACCAAGUGCCCACCAGCCUGUAGGCUAACAUCCCUCUGAAAACAUGUCUGGGCACCAAGUGCCAAGCUCAUAGGCUUUACAUAUGCCCCAAUAACACGCCAGAAUCACUGUAAAUAUAACACGAUAGUCUGCAAAAAAUGCUGAACUUCGGUAUAUUCAAUGGAUAAUAACAAGUCAAGAAUCAUCAUCUCAUCACAAGUUAAUCUCGUACAGCACGCAAUAUAACCUAUUGGCAUGCCAAUUGUACCUUAUCCUACGUUUAUCUGGGCUCAUAACAUAUCAUCGUGUUAACAAUGUUCAAGGCAAUUAUUUUCUCAACUCACAACAGUUUAUAAAAAUUCAAUCAUACCUAAAAUAUUCAACAACCAUAAUUCACAAUCAAUAUAACAUUUCAAAUUAUACUAAACUAAACCGUACAAACUUACCAGGGCUAAACUGUAGAGAUAGUAAAAAUUCAAGGACUAAUUAGCAACUUUCUAUUUUCUUCGAUUGUCAAUAUGUUCUUAAUCUAUAAAGUAGUUUAUUUCAAUUUAUUAGCCUCAAUUUCAUGUAAUAUUCAAUUUAAUACAUAUUUCUUCCUAUUUAUAAUUUUUCACAAUUGUCCCAACCUUUUACACCUUAAUCAAUUUGGUCCCUAUGACCAAAACUAGAUUAUUUUCACAAUUAAACUUUAUACCUAUUAAACUGAAUUUAUAACUACCCAAAACUAGUCCUCACAUAUUGAAAUUUCAUGAGAAAAACAUGUCAUAUUUACAUUAUUUUCAAUUAAAUCCCUAAACUUACAAAUUAUACAAAAUUAUUUUACAAAAUAAUCCUAUUUAACAACCAAGCUUAAUAACCUACCAUUAUACUUCAAAAACAUAUCAUACUCAUCAAUGGCAUCUUCCAGAACAUUUAACAAUUUUACAAAUUAACCCAUGGGUUAGCUAGAUUAAGCUAAAACGGUCUCAAAAAUAUAAAAUUCAUGAAAAACAAUUGAAAAUGAGCGUACAUGCAAUAUAAAAUUUUAACUUUAUUAUAAUAUAAAAUUUUCAUAUAACACAUAAUGAAACAAGCCUAAAUCAGCCACUAGCUAAAGAAAUGGCUUUAUUGCCAUAUUAAACCAUCCUAUUUCACUUAAAUACACAAUUGAUACUAAAAAAAUAGCAACUGAGUUUUGCACCUUUUUACAGUUCAGUCCUUUUUCCUUAAUUAAGUAAUCAAACAAUAAAAUUAAUAGACCAAAAUUUAAUAUGGCACUAUAAUGACCUCAUAAAUAUUAAAUAAAUAAUAUUUACGGACUCACACGUCGAAAUUGUGGACCUAAAUCUAUUAUUUUCUUACACAACUAGAAAACGAGCUGUUAUAUAUAGAAAACUCCAGAAAUGCAAUAUACAGAGUACGCCACAAAGGUAAUAUAAUGCCACAAUGGCUAACAAAAUGUCACAAAGGCCUAAUCAAAAUACGCCAUAAAGACUAACAAAAUGCCCCCAAGCACCCCAUGAACUGUCGUGUUUGUAGUAUGGAUUUGCUUAAACUCACAUCGCAUGAGGUUUGCCUAUCAUCGCCUUGGGACACGCAGAGAACCCCAUUCAAUCAAUGCAACUCAUUCGCCCUUUUCAGAAUGUGCCAUGGCCACGGACUUUUCUUCAAAAUUUUCAUAUUAGAAUUCGUGUUUACUAUCCUGACAGACUUUAUCGAAUACCAUCGCGGUGUUCAAACUCACAUCACAACCUCUCUACACUCGAAUACACCCUAUUCCAAAACAUUUUCAAUCUAACAUCACAUAUCCAAUAUAAACAUAUAUUAUGGCAGGUCAACUCAUUUUUCUUAACCAAAUCAUUCCUUAAUACAUGCUUCAUACGCAUCAACACAAUCACAUUACACAGUAUACAUUAUAGGCACACACAUAGUUGCUUCACAGAAUCACAUACACCCAUACACACAAUUCAUCAUAUUCCAGACUCAUAAGGACUUAAACCAUGAAAUACAUUUUUAUUUCUAGCAAUCAUUCAUGUACUCACAUGCUGUUUUUAGGAACAUAAAUCACAAACAAUCUACUUAUACGAACUUGUAUGAGUUGAUAUUAGAGGCUCACUUGAUACUAAGUUGUAGAAGGUUAAAAUCUUCAAUUCUGAACGCCUUUCACGAAACUGUAGCAUAAACUACUAAAAGAACAUGGAUCCACCAUCAAAACCCAUUUACGGACAGAUUGUUAUAAUCUCAUCUAUAGAUAACCCCUAUGCAUGGGAUCUUAAUCAUAACUUGUUGCAUAUAUAUAUCAUAUUACCCUUACUCUUAACAUGCAAAGUUGUUAAAUUUACCAGGAGAUAGAACAUAACAUUCUCUAUUUAUUCCCAAGAAUCCUUAGCUUUUAGUUUACAUGAGAAUAAUAACCAGCAAUAACAUUUGAUAUUUAAAAUUUUGAGAGUUAUUUUGAAGGAAGAAGAAACUUUCUCAUGAACCCUACUCACAUACAUGUAUAAUCUACUUCCGUUUGAUGUAAUUUGACAAGUGUAAAGACGUUUCAGAAUAUGCCCUUCCUAAAAGCCUAAAAAAUCUAGAAGAAACAUAAAUGAGAGUCUUAUCCAAAAAUUAUUUGACCAGUCAAUUUAAUUAGUUUAUAAACAGAUCUAGUUACUAAGACUUGCUCUUCACAGUGCUUUGAACAAACAAGUUAAACUAUACCUUUUGAAGUAACCUACACAAAGCUUACUUUUCUUUUACAUAAUUAUUUUUUAUUCAAGAAUACAUCAAAACUAAAUCCCGAUAUGCUUCCAUGGGUGGAUACUUGAUUCACCAAGAUAUUAGUUCACUAGAAGCUUAAAAUUUGGUUAACUAACCACUUGUAUCUUGGGGCUAGACCUUUCGUCUCACGAUCCGUGCGGCCUUAGGUGAUCUGUUCAUCCAAACUCUCCUAGGAUAGCCUUCACUCAAUGAGGAUUCCUUAAGAACUCCUCCAAGACACCAAAUUGAAGAGUGCACGCAAAGUGUUUGAGUAAAUGCUCUCAAUUCUCUUAUUCACAAAGACUAAUGAAACGAUGAAUUGAGUGAAUACAAAUGAGGGGGAGGCUCUCUCUAUUUAUAGUUGAGCCCCCCCAAAACUGACGGUCAAGAUACAUUCACAUCGUUAGACGAGAUUAACCAUAUCCCUUUAGUUUAGGGAUUUAUAAGAUAUGCCAUAUCAAAUCUAAUCUAAUCUUUACAAGAUAUGAUUCUCUUAAUCUUCUAAAAUUAGUUACCAAAUUAGCCUAAGUUGUCAUAUCUUCAUUAUCGGGCCAGCCAGACUUCAAUUUGACAGGCUUCUCUAAUAGUUCUUUGAAUCGGGCUAGUUCCCGUGGGCCAAAUGAUCCCCAUCUGAGCAAUAGACCUCCAUUGGAUGUAUUUGGCACAAUGGUCACGGGCUUUGAACUACGACUCGUGACACUAGAGUGUGCUAGAACUAAUAGCUUCUCGUCUACGCGCCUUUAAUUUGGAUCGUCCAAAUUUGAGGUGUGACAAAAACUCUCAAGUACAUUCAAAAUCUAAUUAACCUAAAGAAGAAGUAGUUUUAAACUAAACUUUCUUGUUACUUCUUAUUGACAUAAAACUCCUAAACAAAUUAAAAUACUUAAAAUAUCCAAAAUUCACAAUAAAUAAUAAUGGGAUAAUAAGACCUCAUAAAUACAAUAUUGGGAUCAUAUAUUAUAAAAAUUAAGCCUAAAAAUCAAACCCAAUAAGAUUUAAGCUCGAAUUAAAAAUUUUGCUUCCGCAGUCUUCACUAAAAUAGUCAUAACUUGAGUUCCCGAACUCAAAAUUGAGAGAUUCAAAGUGAUUCUUGAAGAUAAGAGAUAAAUAUUUGAAUUCUAUGAGACAUAUCAACCCAAAAAUGCUUGGAUCCCAUCCAAAAUGUCGUCGUAAGUCAAUUAAUUUUUCAAACUUGAAAAUUAGCAAUUUUGGUGAAUAGAAUUUAAUAAAUUUUACCCCAUCCAUUUAUGUAUCAUUCCUCCUUUCCUCAAAAAGAUUCAUCCUUAAAUAUUUUAUUUUUUAAUAAUAAAGAAUCUUUAUCAUAGGUGGAAUGAGUUAAUUGAGCUCCUCUCAAAGGAUUAACAAAUUUCUGAUAGAAUGAAGCAAGCCCACUAAACAAAUUCAAGUUAAGGUUAGUCAAAACAUAAUCAUUCCUCUAUUUUGGAUAGGUUCACUCUUUCUUUGUAUUCUUUUUUUCAAUGUGAAUUGAGUUCUUUAAUUUUGCAUUGUAGAAAUUUUUAUUCACCAAAGUUGGACCAUCAAAUUGACUUUUAUCGUUCAAGAUCUUUUUUCUUUAUCUUUUUACAUGAAUCAUCAUCACUUCCCAUAUCUCACACACAUGAAUUAUGAAUAUCAGAUUUAGUAGAAUACAUUUCCAUAGGAGGAAAAGACAUUUCUCUCUCAUCUAACUUUAUAAAUUUGGGGAAAAAAAUUCUCACAAUCAUCUUUUCCAUUUCACAAAGUUCGCCAUCACAAAUAUCUUUUCCAUUAGAGUAAGAGUCAACAAAAGGCACAAAGUCAUACUUACUUUAUUCUCUAAUUGGAUAUUGAAUUAGACAUCAGAAACCUUAGCGAUCUUUGAAACUAAACCAAUAACAUUUCACAAUAGGUGAGAGAUCAUUUUCAUUUGGCCAUCACCUCUUGAAUUGGCAUAAUAAUCUAUGCUUAACUUUCCCAUCAUAAUAAGCCUUUGGAUCAUUCUUUCCAUGAUUUUAUGGAAUAAAGAACUUUGGUUUAGCCAAAUAAGGUUGUUCAAUGUCAUUAUUGACAAAAGUCUCAUCAUUCAUGCAAUGUGCACGUUUAACAUUAUUUACAUAAAGACUAGGCUGAUCAACCUCAUCUCUCCAAUUAUGAUUCCAAUGUUCAAUUUGGGUACUUAGAUGAGCCCAUUUUUUUCUGAUUAUGUCUAAAAUGGUGUCUCAUUAUUGAUCUUAGGCAUCUCGAACCUCUUCGAUCCCUUUGCAACUUUUCAAUCAUAUUAUCGAAUUUAUCAUUCAUUACAAAACUAGCAAGGUUUUUCAUGAUAACUAGUGGUUUUUCACUACUAUUAUUACUUUAUUUGCUACCACGAGUAUCACGAGUCAUUAUUAAAGCUUGAAAAUAACACAACUUUUAAAAAACUAAAAUUUAAUCAAACCUCACCGUUAUACUCUCAGAAAUAAAAUUUAACUCUCAAUGAGGUAAGAAUUAAUCUUGUGAGUCUUUUAAAAAUGUUUAUAUCAACCAAUCAAAAUGUGUAAGAAUCUAACUAGCAAAGCAAACCUACUGGUAAAACUAAUUCAAAUCGUAAAGUGUAAGGACAAAUUAUAUUUAAAAAUUGUUUCAAUAAAUUACUGUGUGCAAGUAAUAUAACUAAUGAUGGAGGAGAUGAAAGUUUGAUUAACGAUUAGAAUACUAAAAAAUUUUGUUUUAAGGACGUGGAGUCAGAUGUGAUUAGCAAUAUGGUCGUAAACUCAAUCCCAGCACCAAGAAUGUCUUGGAGAGACAAAGUUUUGGGUAAAGGGACUUUGGAUCUAGCUGUGAUGAGGAAUUUGAGUUUUUUAGACGGGGAUGUCAUGAGAUCCACCAUUAAUAGAUUUUCUGCACUCAACUUCUCUGAAAGGGUUCAUCAAAUUCUUGUCAAAGAUAUGGCGACAACGGUGGUGGUAAAGUUACUAGGCUAGAAUUUAUCAUACUCCCUCCUGCAUAAUAGGAUCCAUAGCAUCUAGAAACCCUCACAAUAGUUCCACCUCAUGGAUGUGGAGAAUCGUUAUUUCCUAGUUAAAUUCCAUAGUCGAGAAGCUUAUGAGAAAACACUUACCCAAGGACUGUGGAUUGUGCUGGGGUAGUAUCUCAAAUUGCAACCAUGGACUUUGAAAUUUAACCCCUUUCAGGCCUAUCCUAAUAACACUUUAGUGUGGGUUUGGUUGUUGGAUCUACCAAGUUUUCUCUAUUAACAUCUUAUACUAGAGGGAAUCGAGGGUUUAAUCGGUAAAGUUACUAAACUUGAUUUUCAGAUGGAUAAGGGGUCAAGUGGGAAAUUUGCCUAGAUGGUAGUGUACAUCGACCUCGAAAAUCCUUUAGUCUCCUAAAUCCUGGUUAACGGUGUAGUACAAAGAGUAGAGUUUGAAUCGUUACCUUCAGUCUAUUUCUCAUGUGACAGGUUUGGCUACUUGCAAAACCUUUUCCCUGGUGUUGGGUCAGCAACAAAUAUCGUGGUGGGUUCAGAUUCAACGAUGAGAGCCUCAUCUAUGAACGACAAAGUGGCGAAGCCGACGGAGGCCUUCGGGCCAUGGAUGCUUGUUGAAUGAAAAUCUUGGCAUAACUCAAAGAAAUGAGAAUAGCCAAAAUUGAUGCCUUGAACUCUAAUGGAAAUAAAAUCCCUAUAAAUAAAGCCAAGAGGAUGGAUUUAGUAGGAGUGAGAUUUAAAAAGGGUGAUUUUUUAAAGGAGAAAAGUCAGGGUUUCUUUAAAGAGAAAAAAA
rnacentral:lncRNA from 1 species